rnacentral:rRNA from 1 species
CCUACGGGAGGCAGCAGUGGGGAAUAUUGGACAAUGGGCGAAAGCCUGAUCCAGCAACGCCGCGUGAGGGAUGACGGCCUUCGGGUUGUAAACCUCUUUCAGCUCCGACGAAGCGAAAGUGACGGUAGGAGCAGAAGAAGCACCGGCCAACUACGUGCCAGCAGCCGCGGUAAUACGUAGGGUGCGAGCGUUGUCCGGAAUUAUUGGGCGUAAAGGGCUCGUAGGCGGUUUGUCACGUCGGGAGUGAAAACUCGGGGCUUAACCCCGAGCCUGCUUCCGAUACGGGCUGACUAGAGGUAUGCAGGGGAGAACGGAAUUCCUGGUGUAGCGGUGAAAUGCGCAGAUAUCAGGAGGAACACCGGUGGCGAAGGCGGUUCUCUGGGCAUUACCUGACGCUGAGGAGCGAAAGUGUGGGGAGCGAACAGGAUUAGAUACCCUGGUAGUCCACACCGUAAACGUUGGGCGCUAGGUGUGGGGCUCAUUCCACGAGUUCCGUGCCGCAGCUAACGCAUUAAGCGCCCCGCCUGGGGAAGUCGGCCGCAAGGCUAAAACUCAAAGGAAUUGACGGCNGAGACGNGCGACGACGACGACGAGGGAGAGG